UACAGAGGGUGCAAGCGUUAAUCGGAUUUACUGGGCGUAAAGCGCGUGUAGGCGGCUGGUCAAGCGUGGUGUGAAAUCUCCGGGCUCAACCCGGAAACUGCAUUGCGAACUGACCUAGCUGGAGUGCAGGAGAGGGCAGCGGAAUUCCCGGUGUAGCGGUGAAAUGCGUAGAUAUCGAGAGGAACACCUGCGGCGAAGGCGGGUUGCUGGGCCGACACUGACGCUGAUGCGCGAAAGCCAGGGGAGCGAACGGG
rnacentral:rRNA from 1 species